UUCGAGCGUCAGUACAACACUCAAGCCCUGCUUGGUAUUGAGCCCCGCCGGUCACACGGUCGGGCCCUAAAACUAGUGGCGGUGCCAUUGGGCUCUCAGCGUAGUAAUACUUCCCGCUGUAGGUCCCGGUGGACGCUGGCCAGCAACCCCAUACUUAUAAGUUUGACCUCGGAUCAGGUAGGGAUACCCGCUGAACUUAA
rnacentral:misc_RNA from 1 species